rnacentral:rRNA from 1 species
UACGUAGGGUGCGAGCGUUAAUCGGAAUUACUGGGCGUAAAGCGUGCGCAGGCUGUUCUGUAAGUCAGAUGUGAAAUCCCCGAGCUCAACUUGGGAACUGCGUUUGAAACUACAGGACUAGAAUAUGUCAGAGGGGGGUAGAAUUCCACGUGUAGCAGUGAAAUGCGUAGAGAUGUGGAGGAAUACCAAUGGCGAAGGCAGCCCCCUGGGAUCAAUAUUA